CCGAGUUUACAAACUCCCAAACCCUUUGUGAACCUUACCUAUCGUUGCUUCGGCGGGAUCGCCCCGGGUCGCCCCUUCACGGGGGCCUCCGGAACCAGGCGCCCGCCGGAGAACCCAAACUCUUGUUUUAUAUGGUUUUCUCCUCUGAGUGGAUUAUAAACAAAUAAAUCA
rnacentral:misc_RNA from 1 species